GCCUUCGUGGUAUAGUGGUCAGCACGCUCGGCGCGUAUUCGAGAGUUCCGUGGUUCGAGUCCUGGUGGGGGCA
rnacentral:tRNA from 1 species